rnacentral:lncRNA from 1 species
CCUGCAGGCGUCCCGAGGGGCAGGAUCGUCUCCGGAGCCGACCGUGCCAGGGCUGGGCCACGGAAGGCGGAGCUGCAGCAUGUGGAGGCCCUUUGUGGACAGGUGCACGGGCCCAUCUCUCUCCGAGGCGCUACCUGCGGUUUACUGGACGUUUAUUAGAAGCCCACGCAAUAUCGUGAAGCACCUGCAGGCAAUAAAACCCUUUACAUGUGUGAGGCCUUGAGGAAAUUAACGGCUCCUCCCUGGGGAUGCAUAUUUCGUGAAGAUGUUUAUUACAGAUGAAGUGCUCCCGGGGUGGAACAUUAACAAGUUGUAGAGUGAUAAAAGGAUUUUUAUCCUUUUUCAGUGACAGAGGUAGGAAGAACGCUUUAACGGAAUCUAUAAAAGGCCCACUUCCUAAUGAAUUUUCUUUACUCUUUAUUAAUAGGGUCGGCUGAGCGGAGUCAGGGUCCUUGGAUGGCUGGACCACUGGACAAGGGGAAUGGAGCCGACUGGAGCGGGUGCGGGGCCUGGAUGCUGGACAGAGAACGCGUGAGGACGGUCUGGGUUCGAAUUCCAGGCACUGAAGACCACGGGGAGCCUGGGUGGGUGAUGAACACGUUCCGCCCCAGGAAAUCAUUUGGAGGCCGCUCCAGGUGAUGGGGUGAGUCAGGCCAAAAGGCAGGUUCCAAGCCCCUCUUUUUAACCCCCUGUUCCCCGCUCCGGCCUGCAGGCCAUUACCGAGAUGAAAGCCGGGAGAAUGCCUUUGGCCCAGGACUGCGGAAUCUAAUUGAAUUAUAUGAACGCAGUUAAACGUCGGCUUCAGAGAGGCAGGCCUCGCUUUCAAGACUGGAUGCUUCAGGAGUUAAUGGGCUAUUUGAACAAUAUAGGCCAAGAGCCGAACACAGCCCUUCUCCCUACUGCGGUCACUGACGUUCCAAGAGGCCAGUCUGAUGGCAUCAGGCCCUGCUGAACAACUGCUGUGGCUCCCCACUGCCCUCAGAGGAGAGUUCAGACUCCGUCUUGGCUUCCGACGUUCUUCCUGUUGCCUCGAGUCUCAUCUCUCACUCUCAUCUUCACGCCUCCUGGGUCCCUCCUCUGCUUGUUGUGGACCGUCAGCCAGGAAUGCCUCCUCCUAACCCCUAGGGACCCCGCUUCUCCCUUACCUGCCAGGCCCAGUUCAAAUGCAGCCUCCUCCAGGAAGCCUUCCUUUUCUGCCUGGAUCAGAUUCCUGUGACUGUAUAUAUGUCUUAUCAUUGGCCCCCUCCCUCCACUAGGCCAUGAAGACCUUGAGGGCAGGAUCCAUGUUCAUUAUUAUCAUAAAAAGAAGUUUAACACACUACUGGUUCCCACUUGUCAAGCAUGUCCUGAACACCAGGUGCUUUACAAGCAUUGGCUUGUUAAACCUCCGCAGCACCCUGUUUUAUUGUCCCCAUUUUACAGAUGAGGAAACUGAGGCUCAGAGACAGGAAGUU